rnacentral:lncRNA from 1 species
GUCUCUUCCUUCCUAGGCCUACCUCUGUUGGUGCUUUUGUCUUCCAACCUCCCUAUGUAGUAAGACCAGCCAAGCCCACAUGCCCACUGGGAGCCCUGAAACCAGAUCUGGUUUUCUGUCUUACCUGAACAGGUUCCCAGAACCCACACCAGGCCUCUGAAUCAGUCUCUGAGAAUCUGAUUGAUUUAAAGCCACUUGGUUGCUUCCAUUGCACUACCUGGGUUGCGAUCCCCUCAAUUGAUUUAGUAAAAAGAAAACUUAGCGGCCGGGUGCGGUGGCUCACACCUGUAAUCCCAGCACUUUGGGAGGCUGAGGCGGGUGGAUCACCUGAGGUCGAGAGUUCCAGACCAGCCUGACCAACAUGAAGAAAUCCCGUCUCUACUAAAAAUACAAAAUUAGCCGGGCGUGAUGGCGCAUGCCUGUAAUCCCAGCUACUUGGAGGCUGAGGCAGGAGAAUUGCUUGAACCUGGGAAGCGGAGGUUGUGGUGAGCCGAGAUCAUGCCAUUGCACUCCAGCCUGGACAACAAGAGUGAAACUCCAUCUCAAAAAAAAAAAAAGAAAAGAAAAGAAAAGAAAGAAAACUCAGCUAGGAAUUAGAAACAUCAUUUGUCCUCUUGGCCUGUUCAGCUGGUGACUGUAGAUUUGAUGAAAAGGAAACUUGGGACUCCGGAGGACCAAGAUGGAGCGAGACGGUCAAUACUGAUGGACUUGCAGCUAGCACCAUGGCAGCCCUGCCUGGUCUAAGGAAGCUGGCAGGAGGCGAUGGUACCUGGCGGGGGCAGACUGCCCACCUCCCCACUCCUUCAGAGGACUGUUUCCUGCCCUUCACACCAUCAUCAUGUUGGGCCCUGCAUGUAUGUUCCUGCACUUGGAGCGAGCCCAGGGACACAGGGCAGACACUGGGCUCACAGAUGUUGCUGCAGCUGAGCCAGAAAACAUUCCAGGCAGGAAAAGCAGGUGCACACAUUCACACAGGCCUCUGGUCACUCGACCAGCCAGAAUGAGACGGACUCCUUGACCUGGGAAGUCAAGUCCCAGUGGGAAGGGCUGGAAAUCACACGUGGUCAACUUCUUGGCUCUCUCUGCUCCCCAAACCCUGGCCCUAGGCUUGCUUUAUCAUCACAUCCCAAGGCCAGAGGGCUGCUGCUGUCCCCAUCUUGGCCCUGCUAGAAGAGGGAUAGGGGUGGCUGGCAUGAUGGGUGAGGGGAACAUGAGAAUAUGCAGAGGCCUUGGAGGAAGAGGACUGGCAGUUAUGACAGGAAGGCUCUCUAUACCUGGCUCCCCAGUGUUCUGCCCCUGGCACUGAGCAUGAGGAGCCAGGCUUUGGGGAGACUUUGCAAUCACCCCCCCAACCUGGUCCAUUUUCCACAGGUAGCUUUCUUGAACUCACCUUGACCCCUCCUCAGCCAGCAGCCCCCACCUCCAGGGGCAAAGGAGCUGAAAGACAGUCCUGAACUGGGGGGAGCUGGGAUCACAUCAGCCAGGCCCUGUCCCUCACAGGAAGUGAGAUGAGGUGAUACCAUGGAUGGUGACUAAGGCCCCAAAGUCCCUGCCUCUCUGCCUCCCCAGAAACCUCACAGCCAGGCCAGCCCCCAGAGCAGAGCCUGUGUAAACAUGCCCAGGAGGGGAGGAGGGGUUGCUACAUAUGAGAAACAGUUAAAAAUAAAUUUAAAAAGCACCACUA